rnacentral:rRNA from 1 species
UUCCGGUUGAUCCUGCCGGACCCGACUGCUAUCAGAGUGGGACUAAGCCAUGCGAGUCAACGUAGAAAUACGUGGCAAACGGCUCAGUAACACGUAGUCAACAUGCCCAGGGGACGUGGAUAACCUCGGGAAACUGAGGAUAAACCGCGAUAGGCCAUGAUUUCUGGAAUGGUUCAUAGCCGAAAUCUAUAUGGCCCCUGGAUUGGACUGCGGCCGAUCAGGCUGUUGGUGAGGUAAUGGCCCACCAAACCUGUAACCGGUACGGGCUCUGAGAGGAGGAGCCCGGAGAUGGGCACUGAGACAAGGGCCCAGGCCCUAUGGGGCGCAGCAGGCGCGAAAUCUCUGCAAUAGGCGAAAGCUUGACAGGGUUACUCUGAGUGAUUCCCGCUAAGGGGAUCUUUUGGCACCUUUAAAAAUGGUGCA